rnacentral:rRNA from 1 species
CUUGAACCCUAUAAGAGGUCCAGCCUGCCCAGUGACUCUGUUCAACGGCCGCGGUAUCCUAACCGUGCGAAGGUAGCGUAAUCACUUGUUCUUUAAAUGCGGACUAGUAUGAAUGGCACUACGAGGGUUAUACUGUCUCCUUUUUCUAAUCAGUGAAACUAAUUUUCCCGUGAAGAAGCGGGGAUAUAAUUAUAAGACGAGAAGACCCUAUGGAGCUUAAAACAAUUCAGCAAUUACUUUAAAAUUUAUAAAUUUCAGAAUAACCAUUUUUUUAAGCAAUAUGUCUGCAAGUUUUUGGUUGGGGUGACCAUGGAGAAUAAUACAACCUCCAUACUGAAUGAAUUAUCUUCUAAGCUAAAAAUUACUAAUUGAAGCAUCAAUAUACUGACAUCCAUUGAUCCAAUAUACUUGAUCAACGAAC